UACGUAGGUGACAAGCGUUGUCCGGAUUUACUGGGCGUAAAGAGCGCGCAGGCGGUCGUUCAAGUCGAGUGUGAAAGCCCCCGGCUCAACUGGGGAGGGUCACUCGAUACUGAUCGACUCGAAGGCAGGAGAGGGAAGUGGAAUUCCCGGUGUAGUGGUGAAAUGCGUAGAUAUCGGGAGGAACACCGGUGGCGAAGGCGACUUCCUGGCCUGUUCUUGACGCUGAGGCGCGAAAGCUAGGGGAGCAAACGGG
rnacentral:rRNA from 1 species